rnacentral:lncRNA from 1 species
CAUUUAUGAUUAUAGUAUUCUACGCUGAAGAGAAAAGAAGUUUUGGGUAAGGUAGAGUUAUUUAAUAUUUAAUUCUUAUGCUUUCCUAAAAACUUGAUUUCGAAACGUGCGUCCGUAGAUAACUUAAAAUUGUAUGAUAGAUUGCCGUCUAUUCAUUCUCUCUUACCUGUUUGUGUAUGCCUUCCAAUUGCUGUUUUUACUGAGAUCUCCUUUUUAGUAGAAGAAAUAGCUAUAACCCUUUGACUGCUAUUUCUAAAUUCGGUAUGUGGUAAGGCAAUUCGUUGCUAAACCCUUUAUUGCUUAGUAUUACUAUAUAUAUAUAUAUAUAUAUAUAUUUGGUUUUUGGAUUUGGUUUGCAAGAUUCUUUAUAUGAGUUCGUGUGUUGAAGCAUAUUCUGUUGUGCCUGGGGAGAGUCAUUCUCUUUUAGUGCCUUAUUAUUUAACACACUCACCGGUAAAAUUUCCACUUAUUUCUUAUUUUUAUUUUCUAAAAUGCAAGUUAUGAGUUUAUUAUUCAAAUAAUAUAUAUACAUAUAUAUUAUGUACGUACAUACAUACAUAUAUAUUAUGUACGUACAUACAUACAUAUAUAUUAUGUACGUACAUACAUACAUAUAUAUUAUGUACGUACAUACAUACAUAUAUAUUAUGUAUGUACAUACCAAUACAUACAUACAUACAUACAUACAUACAUACAUACAUACAUACAUACAUACAUACAUACAUUCAUACACGCGUGCAUACGUACAUAUAUAUGACGAACUAACUGUUACUUUCUCAGAUGCAGCACAGAUUUUUGUCAGUGAACAGGUCGCGGGUUUUAGCGACGAAAAUAUUUUGACAAAUUAAACUUAAAUGUUGAAGUGAAUCGAACGGCUUUUGUGUGUUUCUUAAAUGGCUUACAAACACCUUCCACGCUGCAAUUGUUUUCGUUCCAGCACACGAUCUCAGAUCAAAUCACUUGCUAUGCGAGUACACCUCCGUAAUAUAUAUAUAUAUAUAUAUAUAUAUAUAUAUAUAUAUAUAUAUAUAUAUAUAUAUAUAUAUUAUUUGAAUAAUAAACUUAUAACGUGCAUGUUAAAGCUGCUUUACGGUUAUGGGCAACCAUGUGCCAUCAUACACCGAGGUUAUUCUUUCCACUAGGUAUACGCGUGGAACUCCGUUAGUGCAAACGAAGCUUAUAUGAUAUUUUCAUAAACGAAGGAGAUGGACCUGAGGACGUGCCGGCAUACAAACGCUGCUAGAUCAUGUUUAUUUAUAUAGUUAUUUCGAAAAUUCUUAAUGUAAAAGUAUGAUAUGGAAAGCUCAGCAACUAACAGCUGUUACCACUGCACAAAAACAAAUGUUGAUUUCCGUAAUUAAACCCUGUUCAUUACAUCUUUAUCAUUUUAUAAUAUAUAUAUGUAUACUCUUUUACUCUUUUACUUGUUUCAGUCAUUUGACUGCGGCCAUGCUGGAGCUCCGCCUUUAGUCGAGCAAAUCGACCCCGGGACUUAUUCUUUCUAAGCCCAGUACUUAUUCUAUCGGUCUCUUUUGCCGAAUCGCUAAGUAACGGGGACGUAAACACACCAGCAUUGGUUGUCAAGCAAUGCUAGGGAGACAAACACAGACACACAAACACACACACACAUACAUACAUAUAUAUAUAUAUAUAUAUAUAUAUAUAUAUAUAUAUAUAUAUACGACAGGCUUCUUUCAGUUUCCCGUCUACCAAAUCCACUCACAAGGCAUUGGUCGGCUCGAGGCUAUAGUAGAAGACACUUGCCCAAGGUGCCACGCAGUGGGACUGAACCCGGAACCAUGUGGUUGGCUUGCAAGCUACUUACCACACACCCACUCCUGCGCCUAUAUAUAUAUAUACACACACGACGGGUUUCUUUCAAUUUCUGUCUACCAAAUCAAGGCUUUAGUCGACUCCAGGCUAUAGUACAAGACACUUGCCCUAGAUGCCACGCAGCGGGACUGAACUCGACACCUUGUGGAUGAGAAGCAAACUUCUUACCACACAGCCACGCCUAUAUAUAUAUAUGUGUAUGUACGUGGAUUUGUAUAUACAUAUAUGUAUAUAUGUAUAUGUAUAUGUGUAAAUAUGUGUGUGUAUGCGCGUAUGCGUAUAUGUAUACACACACACAUAUAUAAAUAUAUACACAUAUACAUAAGUGCAUACGUAGAUCAUUAAUUGCAUUACCAUAAUUCCCAUAAUCUACACCCUUCUUCUUCCCCCUCCCUUUCAACCUCCCCCCAUCUUUCUACACCCGCAAACUUUUCCCCUUUCUUUCUCUCCUUUUGCCCUUACUUCCCCCACCCCGCCGUUUUGUUACCUUUCGACAUUGAUCGUAGCUUUAUGAUCAAUGUUUGUCAUUGUAUUUACGAUUCCAUUUAUGACUCUGUUUACCUCUGUCUCUGUCUCUAUUGGUCUCUUCUUCUUUUAUUCUCUCUUUCUCUCUUUCCUUCUCUCCCCCUCUCUCUCUUUCUCUCUCUUUCUCUUUCUCUCUCUUUCU